rnacentral:tRNA from 1 species
GCUCCUCGUAGUGUCAGUGGUCAUCACGUGCGCUUUACACGCGCAAGGUCCCUGGUUCGAUCCCAGGCGAGAGCA